GUCUACUUCCGGAUCUGACCUUACUCGCAUUGGUGUUGGUGGAAAGAUUUAUUGGUGCGAGAUGGGCCCGCGGCCUAUCAGCUUGUUGGUGGGGUAAUGGCCUACCAAGGCGACGACGGGUAGCCGGCCUGAGAGGGCGAUCGGCCACACUGGGACUGAGACACGGCCCAGACUCCUACGGGAGGCAGCAGUGGGGAAUAUUGCACAAUGGGCGGAAGCCUGAUGCAGCGACGCCGCGUGAGGGAUGACGGCCUUCGGGUUGUAAACCUCUUUCGACUCCGACGAAGCGCAAGUGACGGUAGGAGUAGAAGAAGCACCGGCCAACUACGUGCCAGCAGCCGCGGUAAUACGUAGGGUGCGAGCGUUGUCCGGAAUUACUGGGCGUAAAGAGCUUGUAGGCGGUUUGUCGCGUCGUCUGUGAAAUCUCACAGCUCAACUGUGAGCUUGCAGGCGAUACGGGCAGACUUGAGUACUUCAGGGGAGACUGGAAUUCCUGGUGUAGCGGUGAAAUGCGCAGAUAUCAGGAGGAACACCGGUGGCGAAGGCGGGUCUCUGGGAAGUAACUGACGCUGAGAAG
rnacentral:rRNA from 1 species